UUAGUAAGGAAAGUGGAGACUAAAUAGUUGAGUUUUUAGUCGCUUUUUGAAGACAGUGAGUGACUCUGCCGUUCUGAUGCAGUUAGGGAGUUCAUUUUAUGAUCACUAUAAGAAAACAAUUCUCUCGAGAUUCUGUGUACACUGGUUUGUAUGUCGCCUGUAUAGUAGAUAAAACAACGCUAUACUCAUAAGAAUUUACUUUACACAGACUGAUUACAUCUUGCACAUUUGCAUAGUUAAUGUGGAUUUACAAAUAACCCAAUUAGAUAUGGCACAAUGUUUCUGAUAGAAAAUUGAGACUUUGAUUGUGCUGGUAUUUUUAUAUCGUUGACAUUGGGGAUCUUCUGUCAUAAAUGCUUUAAAAAUUACUGACAUUCCAGUACAGUAACAAAUUUCUAAACAAUUGGGCGAUUUAGAAAGAGUAUAUCAUUUCUAGUUUUUAAUAAGGAAUAUACAAAAUGUUUCAAUUACAGGUUCAUAUUUAAAUCGUGCUAGGCAACUAAAUGAAGAAACGCAGAUGACCUGACCACAGUCAAACGCAUUGUGCUUUUAAGCUAAUUGAUCUUUAAAGAAUCUGCUUUAUUUGCUUUGUUUAAUUUGUGAAACCUUAAUAUGUACUGUAUGGAAGAAUCGUUUCAUACAAUUACAUUUAAGCCCAGUGAAGCCUUGAAUUACUAAACUAAAGCCAUUUCUUGUGUUUUUCAGCUCAUUCUACAUUGCAGUUUCGGUUCCAUUGUGAAAAAUUGGCUACUUCCAAUGGCUUUAUGUAUCAGGUGCCUCAAUAUGUUAUUCCUGGGGGAAACUUGAAGGAUUGUGAACAUGGCUGGUAUUUUCUGGUAGGAACACCUUUUGUUUUACCUUUACAUUUUUACAGAAAUAACGAAGAUGUUUUUUUAAUUAUUAUUAUUUGGUUUGUCCAUAGAAUGGAACAUUUAUUGUUGACUCAACCAUCCCGGGGGAAAAUUUAGGAUUUGUUGUGCGUGUGAAUCCUGAGAACCUGACUGUUACAACAUGUGUAAACCUUAAAUGGCAACUUGACUGUGAUAACAUUAAGGUAGGUGCCAUAUCUGUGUCUGUGUAUUUACAAAUUAAAAAGACAAUUUGCUGAAUAAUUAAAUGGACAUACAAGGUUCUAAUGAGGUCAUUUUUGUUCUGUUACAGUUUUACCGUAUUGUCAAUUAUACAGAAGUGAGACUUGAAGUGACACUUAUAACAACACAAACGACCUUGCCAGAAAAUAACACUUCACCAGGAGACAAGGACCGUGGUAAGUAAUAUUUUUAACAUUUGAAAUAGUUUAAUUUCACAUUUGAUUGUUUUAUUUUUUAUUUGUUUUUUUUUUUUAAAUAAAGAAAUUAAGAGGCAUACAAUGCAAUUCUCUCUGUUGUCUUGUCUGUUGUUAGCAAGUUUUGCAGGCUCGAUAAUUGCUGUGCUUGUGGGGAUUGGGAUAGUGGGUCUUAUCCUGGCUGUUACCUGUUGUUUAUUUGGGAAAAAAGCAUACAAGAAGGUAAGUUCAUGUCAUUAAAAUGGUCGUUAAUAGUGAGAUGCUUGUGAUAAAGAUAUUAUAUUAUUAUUAUUUUUAUUUUUAUAAUGUUUUUAAUACAUUAUACUAUUGUUGUUACACAUUAAGCAAUAAAAGUGAAACCUAUAACAAGUCAUAUUUUGCUUUGUAGAAAGUUUAAUAUUUGUUGUAUAUUUCUAACAAUGGGAAUGGUUUCCAUUAUUUCCUAGAUCAAGGAGCCUUCACUUACAGCAGUAAAUGGGUCCGACAAACAAUCUUAUGUCUGAAACGCAUAACCCUAACCUUAACGCCCCAUUCACAUGGGGCUUCAGCAUCAACGCUUGACAGAGGGCAUGUCUGAAGUUGGGGCUGACAUGAUCGUCAUAGCAGCAUCAGCCAAGGAAAAUAGUUAUCAAUCGACUGCUUUCUGAGCUGGUGUAUUUGCAUAAAGUGAUCUGAUUGGCUGAUGCUUCCAUUGGGGCUAGAAAAAAUUAUGAAAGUCCUAACUUCUGCAGCGACCAAGCCACUGAAGCGGUGCCGACGGAUCCACAAUGUUGUUCGGCAACGCCUGACGUCAUCCAUUAAAAGUAAAUGGAAAGCGUUGAAGCUGACGCCCCAAGUGAAUGGGGUGUAACCCUAACACCACCACCUGAGUCCCUUAAAUGACUAUGUGACAUCCCAGUGCUGCCAGAUCUCUUCAUUCAAAGCCUCUUGAUCCGCCAGUGCUUCCUGAUCCACUCUGGAUGUCUGACCCGCCAGUGCCUCUGUCACUUUUAGUAUCAUGUUUGUUAUGUUUUUGCUUGUUUGCUAAAACAAAAUAAUUUUCAAACAAAGUUCUUAAAAAUUACAGCAGCCCACAUAAAUUAGUGUUAAGAAGUUAAGGUUUAAGAGCCCUACUCAAGCAAACACUAUUUACCAUUAUUAUUGCAGUAUCGACACUUUACCAAUGGCCAGGAGGUUGCUUUAGAGGAUGGACUCCUUCCUCUCUCGCCUCCAACACCCUUACUGAAUGCUGAGAGCAGGUGAGAUGCUUACAUACCCUUCCUCGGGACAUGCUGCUUUCCGAGGUGGGUACUCCCACCUGAGCUGCCCCACCGCUGAUGCGUUGAUGAUCGCUCUAAUGGUGUCACUGGCUCUGUGAGCCUGGUUAGCGCUGCUCAGUCUGGGAUAGUGGCACAUUGUGACAAUAAGACUCUGCUAUGUGAUUCAGUUCACCACACAGCCUCCAAGUUCAGGAGUGUGCAUUUUACUGUGGUAAAAUCUGCAGCUGCCCCUGUCUUGUGAAGGAAUUGCUGUUCUCUCGUGAAGGACGCAAUUGAGCUGUUUCUCUAGCCGAAAUAGAAUGCGUGUUUCUUAACCGUAUUUCAUCCCAUCCCAUCCCAUAAGUGUGGUGGCUAAUGACCAAUCCUGGUUCUGUGCACUUUUUAAACAUUUGUCUUGGUUGCACGCAGAGACAUGAUGAUCCGGCAUCACAGCCAGGGGGCGAUUCAGGUCAACUGAGAAGAGAGUCCCCUUUGUGUGGAGUUUUUUUUGAGAUGGAGUUAAACUCAGACCCUAUGUCACCCCCAGGGAACCCUGGAACAAGUGUUCAGACAGAUGCAUCCAGUGCAGACUGAAAAGUCAUGACACGAGCAUGCAGCUGUGAACCCCUACAUUGAGCUACAUUGUCAUGUUUAAUGCCUGGAGUUGUUGGCAGUGUUUUUCUUGCUCUGUGCCGGUUCUGGCCGCCUGACACUUGGCACCCCAAAGUGUGACAGGUUCAGCUCCUGUGGCGCUUAGGAUAUUUUCCCUUAGCUUAGGGGGAACAUCUUGGUUAUGUACAUAAUCCUUGAUCCCUGAAAGAGGGAAAAGAGACUUUUAUGUCCAGCUGCCACAGGAGCUUAAUUCACAAGUGGAACCAGUUUUCAGACAUCUGUCUUUGACAGAUGCAUCCAGUGCAGGCUGGAAAGCCAUGACACGAGCAUGCAGCUGUGAGCCCCUACCGGGUCCUCGGCUACAUUGGCAUGUCUAAUGCCUGGUGUUGUUGGCAGUGUUUAUCUUGCUCUUCUGCGAGUAGUCUAAGGAGUUUCCUCUCAAGGUAGCCUUUAUACUCCUAACUGCGGAGUGGCUACAUUUGUAAGAGCUGCACUUGCCAAUUCCAUAUGCGUUCCAUUGGCCUGUUUUAAACAAAUCAGAGUGAUUGGUGCUUCUAAGCGAAUCCACUAGUCAACAAAAUCAACAUAAACAUCUCCGUUUCCUCCUUCAGGGAAAGAGGGUUUUACGUACGUAACUAAGACGUUUCAUAUUAUAGUGUAAUUUCAGUCGUUUUUAAGUCACACCCACUUUGUCUGCUUGUUUCUCUGUUCGUUGUUUUGUUUAAUUUAGUUUAAAUAAAAAUACUGUGGGCUGCAUUUGGAUCCUCCACUCUGUUUAUUUCAACUACAUGCCCAGACGUGACACCUGAAAUGGAAGGGUGUUUUGUAGGUCGCUGCUCUCUUGAUUGAGACUGAUGUGGCCAGGAGCACAGUUUUUUUUUGUGAGCAAUUAGCUGACCCACUUGGCCCACUAGAGCUCCCAAGAGGAUUAGCCCACCAGCACCUUUUCAGGGACUGGAUUAUCAAGUCAUGCUUACCAAACAUUCUGCCUCCCACAACAUCAUAAAGCAGAGAUGGCAGUGAUUAAAAAAACUUGUGGAAGGUGAAAACCGCCACGCCACUUAACUGAGGGAAGGAAGUACAACCCUGAUCAGGCUCAAAAGGUUCAAAAAUAUUUAUUUUAGGUAUUAUUUAAAUGAUCAAAAUCUAAAUAUUCCAGAACACCAUCUUUAUACGCAUAGUACAGAUUUUUAAAUAUGCAUAUAUAUUUUUCCCCUAUAUCAUUAUUAACAAGUUAUUUUAGUUUUGUUGUCUGUAUGAAGUUACAGAGCAAUAUUUCAGCCUGGAGAUAGCACACCUUGAGAUUUUUUUGGGCAAAGCAAAUAUGGCGUCUUUUGUCACAUUUAUUAGGCAAAUACAUCCCUGGACAACAUAUUGAAUAACUUUGGUGCAUUCUUCAGUAAAAGAGUGGAAUUGACUGCUAUCUGAUUCAGUGUCAGAGUUUCUUAAUCUUAUACCUUAAUGUACUAAAUGGCAGAGCGAUGGAAAACUCAGCUCCAAUUAAUUUGUGCUCCCUUGAAAACAUAGCUUGUGAAAAGUUGUGGCAUAUCAAAAGUUAAGGGCUGUUCUCAGUGAGAACACAGUGCAUAAGCACACCUCAUAGAGAAAGCUCUAGCUGAGCAAGUGUUGCCUAACAGUGAUGGUAGGUCACUGAAGUCAACUACAUCUUUCAUGGCAAUGCCAGGGAUCUGAACAUGGGUGCCAGGAGAAUAUGUGGGGCUGCCGCAAGAAGCAAAAUACACAAAAUAAUGUUUCCACAUCAUAUGACCUCUUUGGAUUGUUGAUUGUGUUCUACAUUAAGCAUAGAUAUGCAUUAUGGAUGUUUUUUUGUUUUGUUUUUACCAUUAAUAUAGAAAUUAAACAUUUUGUAAUCUAUUUGUUGAUAAAACAGUAGAUUAGUAACACCACAUAUAUUUUCUUUGAUGUUGAAUAUUGUUUAAGAAUUGAAUGAGCACAACAUUAGUUCUAAAUUUAAGAUUUUUAUUUUUAAAAGCAAAAUGUGAAACUCAACAGAUAUAACUAUCCCCGAGGUCCUAUGCUGAUCCUACCCUCUCUCUGCUCCCCCCACCCUUUCCUGUCUCUAGCCUAAUGUUGAUCCUGGACCAUCAUUUAAAUACAGUGUAAAUUCGGUAAUGUUGAACCUGGCCCUUCAUAAAAAUUUAAAUACAGUGUAAGUUCAGUAAUAUUGAUCCUGGACCAUCAUCGUUUAAAUGCAGUGUAAAUUCACCAAUGUUGAUCCUGGACCAUCAUCAUUUAAAUACAGUGUAAACUUACUAAUGUUGAUCACGGACCAACAUAAACAUUUAAAUACAGUGUAAAUUCAGUAAUGCUGAUCCUGGACUAUCAUCAUCAUUUAAAUA